ensembl:processed_transcript 1700047K16Rik RIKEN cDNA 1700047K16 gene
GACGCGAGCCUGCGGGGCGCUGAGGCAAGACACACGCUUCCCCGGGUCUCCUGAAGCUGUCACUACCGGCCGCAGGCUGUCAUCGCCCCUUGGCCCGCUCGGUCAGGCGGGCAACUUCCCCGGUGUGAGGCUGGACAGCACCGCCGGCCUGGAGCAACCUGCGCAGAUUAAUGACCUGUCCAGCAUUGCCAGGGACGGCGGUAGUCCUGUUCUGCUGACCAGAUGCCUUCCGGUGUGAAUGGAGACGGCUCCCAACCUUUCAGAGCAAGGGUUUCUAACCAGCGCUUGCAGCAUAGAACGCCCAACUCAGAACCGUAAACCUGCUCAAUUGACAGAUUGCUGGACGAGCCGAGACCCAGAGUUUAUUUACAAGUACCACACGAAACAGAUCGGUGGAACGCAGACUCGCAGGCCGCAGUGGGAGCAGGAAUUCUGCCAGCAUAGACCCUGAGUCCGUGUUGGUUAGUUUUGUCUAUUUGAAAGGAUAUCAAAACACCCGAGAAUACAGUCUCAACGAGAAUUAUAUGGGUUGAGUUGACCCAUGGUUAACAUUUUCAUGACUGGGUUAAGUGAGGUGGAAGGCCCACUCCGAAUGUGGGAGGUACCAUGUCAUGGAUUAGGUUCUGCACUAUUCUGAGUGUUGGGAGGCGACAGAGAGCAAGCGUCAAGCACCCAUUAGCUCUUUGUUCAUGACUAUGGGAUGUGGAACAAGCACCUGUACUGCUGCUGAGACUCCUCUAUAGUAAUGGACUAUCACCUAGAGUUGGAAGCUAAAAUAGUCUUGCUUCAUUUAGUUGCUCUGUCAGGGUGUUUUACUAAAGCAACAGACAUGAAACUACCUGUCAAGACCAUUAUUGAAAUAAAAGAGUAACAU